rnacentral:rRNA from 1 species
CAGUAGCCGCGGUAAUACGGAGGGAGCUAGCGUUGUUCGGAAUUACUGGGCGUAAAGCGCGCGUAGGCGGUUACUCAUGUCAGAGGUGAAAGCCCGGGGCUCAACCCCGGAACUGCCUUUGAAACUAGGUAACUAGAAUCUUGGAGAGGUCAGUGGAAUUCCGAGUGUAGAGGUGAAAUUCGUAGAUAUUCGGAAGGACACCAGUGGCGAAGGCGACUGACUGGACAAGUAUUGACGCUGAGGUGCGAAAGCGUGGGGAGCAAACAGGAUUAGAUACCCGAGUAGUCCCUGUCUCUUAUAA